rnacentral:rRNA from 1 species
GAUGAACGCUGGCGGCGUGCCUAAUACAUGCAAGUCGAGCGAACGGACGAGAAGCUUGCUUCUCUGAUGUUAGCGGCGGACGGGUGAGUAACACGUGGAUAACCUACCUAUAAGACUGGGAUAACUUCGGGAAACCGGAGCUAAUACCGGAUAAUAUUUUGAACCGCAUGGUUCAAAAGUGAAAGACGGUCUUGCUGUCACUUAUAGAUGGAUCCGCGCUGCAUUAGCUAGUUGGUAAGGUAACGGCUUACCAAGGCAACGAUGCAUAGCCGACCUGAGAGGGGGGCCGCCCCCAGUAGAGCGGAGCACGGGACAAGCCUCCGGCGGGAGGCGGCAGAGGGGAAGCUCCGACAAUGGGGGAAGGCCGUACGGGGCGACGCGGGGGGAGUGAGAAGGGUCUUGGAAUCGAAAAACUGUUUUAUUGGGGAAAAACAGAUUUGAAGGAAUGUGUCCACUUCUGAAGGGGCCUAAAUAAGAAGCCCACGCCAAACCACGGC